rnacentral:rRNA from 1 species
CCUACGGGAGGCAGCAGUGGGGAAUAUUGGACAAUGGGGGCAACCCUGAUCCAGCCAUGCCGCGUGUGUGAAGAAGGCCCUCGGGUUGUAAAGCACUUUCAGUGAGGAAGAACGCCUGGUGGUUAAUACCCAUCAGGAAAGACAUCACUCACAGAAGAAGCACCGGCUAACUCCGUGCCAGCAGCCGCGGUAAUACGGAGGGUGCGAGCGUUAAUCGGAAUUACUGGGCGUAAAGCGCGCGUAGGUGGCUUGAUAAGCCGGUUGUGAAAGCCCCGGGCUCAACCUGGGAACGGCAUCCGGAACUGUCAAGCUAGAGUGCAGGAGAGGAAGGUAGAAUUCCCGGUGUAGCGGUGAAAUGCGUAGAGAUCGGGAGGAAUACCAGUGGCGAAGGCGGCCUUCUGGACUGACACUGACACUGAGGUGCGAAAGCGUGGGUAGCAAACAGGAUUAGAUACCCUGGUAGUC